GCCUCAAUGGUCUAACGGCUAUGACGCAUCCCUGUCGCGGAUGCAACCCGGGUUCGACUCCCGGUUGGGGCG
rnacentral:tRNA from 1 species